rnacentral:rRNA from 1 species
GACGAACGCUGGCGGCGUGCUUAACACAUGCAAGUCGAACGGAAAGGCCCUGCUUUUGUGGGGUGCUCGAGUGGCGAACGGGUGAGUAACACGUGAGUAACCUGCCCUUGACUUUGGGAUAACUUCAGGAAACUGGGGCUAAUACCGGAUAGGAGCUCCUGCUGCAUGGUGGGGGUUGGAAAGUUUCGGCGGUUGGGGAUGGACUCGCGGCUUAUCAGCUUGUUGGUGGGGUAGUGGCUUACCAAGGCUUUGACGGGUAGCCGGCCUGAGAGGGUGACCGGCCAAAUGGGGCCUGGGAUACGGCCCAGACUCCUACGGGGGGCAGCGGGGGGGAAUAUUGCAAAAGGGGGGGAAGCCGGAUGCAGAAACGCCGCGGGGGGGAUGACGGCCUUGGGGUUGUAAACCGCUUUCGCCUGGGACGAAGCGUGGGUGACGGUAAUGGGUAAAGAAACACCGGCUAACUACGU